rnacentral:lncRNA from 1 species
CUGGGUAAAUACUAAAUUUUGAAUGAUGUUUUCGAAGUAUUCUUCUUCUUUGUAGUUCAGCUCCUGGUACUCGCUGUUCAGCUUACUGUCAUCUGUCAUGAUCUCAUCUGGAUAACCAAUCCUCUCUUUAAUUGCUGUUGCUUUUUGUUCUGCCUUCUUUUUGGUUUCUGCAUCCAUCCAGGUGAGAUCAUCUAAGGUUUCUAUAAAAACACCACGUAUGUCUGCAAUCAUUU